rnacentral:rRNA from 1 species
UACGUAGGGGGCAAGCGUUGUCCGGAAUCAUUGGGCGUAAAGAGCGUGUAGGCGGCCCGGUAAGUCCGCUGUGAAAGUCGAGGGCUCAACCCUCGAAUGCCGGCGGAUACUGUCGGGCUAGAGUCCAGAAGAGGCGAGUGGAAUUCCUGGUGUAGCGGUGAAAUGCGCAGAUAUCAGGAGGAACACCUACGGCGAAGGCAGCUCGCUGGGACGGUACUGACGCUGAGACGCGAAAGCGUGGGGAGCAAACAGG